GUUUUAAUAAUUUAAAAAAAAUAAUGAUUUUGUAAAUCAAAAUUAAGGAAUAACCUUUUAAUUCA
rnacentral:tRNA from 1 species